rnacentral:rRNA from 1 species
CCUACGGGAGGCAGCAGUGGGGGAUAUUGCACAAUGGGGGGAACCCUGAUGCAGCGACGCCGCGUGGGUGAAGAAGCGCCUCGGCGCGUAAAGCCCUGUCAGCAGGGAAGAAAAUGACGGUACCUGAAGAAGAAUCCCCGGCUAACUACGUGCAAGCAGCCGCGGUAAUACGUAGGGGGCAAGCGUUAUCCGGAGUUACUGGGGGAAAGGGGGGCGCAGACGGCGAGGAAAGCCAGGAGUGAAAGCCCGGGGCUAAACCCCGGCGGGCCGUUGAAACUGGCGGGCUGGAGUUGGAGAGAAGCACGCGGAAUGCGCGGUGUAGCGGUGAAAUGCGUAGAUAUCGCGCAGAACCCCGAUUGCGAAGGCAGCGUACCGGCUCCACACUGACGCUGAGGCACGAAAGCGUGGGUAUCGAACAGGAUUAGAUACCCCUGUAGUC